AUUGAACGCUGGCGGCAGGCUUAACACAUGCAAGUCGAGCGAGCGGAGGACGGGUGGGUAGUUGCUGGGCAACUGCCUGAUGUAGGGGGAAAACUGGUGGAACCGGUAGCUCCUACCGCAUACGAUCGGUUGUGACCAGAUGGGAGUAGCUAGUAGGUGGGGUAAAGGCUCACCUAGGCGACGAUGCCUAGCUGGUCUGAGAGGAUGACCCGCCACACUGGAACGGAGACACGGUCCAGACUCCUACGGGAGGCAGCAGUGGGGAAUCUUGCACAAUGGGCGAAAGCCUGAUGGAGCCAUGCCGCGUGAAUGAAGAAGGCCUUCGGGUUGGAAAGUCCUGUCGGCAGGGAGGCGUUACCUGCAGAAGAAGCAACGGCUAACUCCGUGCCAGCAGCCGCGGUAAUUC
rnacentral:rRNA from 1 species